AUACGUAGGGAGCGAGCGUUGUCCGGAAUUACUGGGCGUAAAGGGCGCGUAGGCGGCGCUUCAAGUCGUCUGUCAAAUGGGAGGGCUUAACCCUUUUUCGCAGACGAAACUGGAGAGCUUGAGAAGCAGAGAGGCGAACAGAAUUCCUGGUGUAGCGGUGAAAUGCGUAGAUAUCAGGAAGAAUACCAGUGGCGAAGGCGGUUUGCUGGCUGCAUACUGACGCUGAAGCGCGAAAGCCAGGGGAGCAAACGGGAUUAGAUACCCCGGUAGUCCUGGCAGUAAACGAUGUAUGCUGGGUGUGAGACUAGCGAUAGUUUCGUGCCGAAGUUAACGCGAUAAGCAUACCGCCUGGGGAGUACGGUCGCAAGAUUGAAACUCAAAUGAAUUGACGGGG
rnacentral:rRNA from 1 species